ensembl:misc_RNA Metazoa_SRP Metazoan signal recognition particle RNA
GCCGGGCGUGGUGGCUCACGCCUGUAAUCCCAGCACUCUGGGAGGCCGAGGUGGGUGGAUCACCUGAGGUCAGGAGUUCAAGACCAGCCUGGCCAACAUGGUGAAACCCCGUCUCUA